rnacentral:rRNA from 1 species
AUGAACGCUGGCGGCGUGCCUAAUACAUGCAAGUCGAGCGAACGGACGAGAAGCUUGCUUCUCUGAUGUUAGCGGCGGACGGGUGAGUAACACGUGGAUAACCUACCUAUAAGACUGGGAUAACUUCGGGAAACCGGAGCUAAUACCGGAUAAUAUUUUGAACCGCAUGGUUCAAAAGUGAAAGACGGUCUCGCUGUCACUUAUAGAUGGAUCCGCGCUGCAUUAGCUAGUUGGUAAGGUAACGGCUUACCAAGGCAACGAUGCAUAGCCGACCUGAGAGGGUGAUCGGCCACACUGGAACUGAGACACGGUCCAGACUCCUACGGGAGGCAGCAGUAGGGAAUCUUCCGCAAUGGGCGAAAGCCUGACGGAGCAACGCCGCGUGAGUGAUGAAGGUCUUCGGAUCGUAAAACUCUGUUAUUAGGGAAGAACAUAUGUGUAAGUAACUGUGCACAUCUUGACGGUACCUAAUCAGAAAGCCACGGCUAACUACGUG